rnacentral:rRNA from 1 species
UACAGAGGGUGCGAGCGUUAAUCGGAAUUACUGGGCGUAAAGCGCGCGUAGGCGGCUUUGCAAGUCGGGUGUGAAAAUCCCCAGGCUUAACCUGGGAACUGCAUUCGAGACUGCAUUGCUAGAGUAUGGGAGAGGGAAGUGGAAUUUCCGGUGUAGCGGUGAAAUGCGUAGAUAUCGGAAGGAACAUCAGUGGCGAAAGCGACUUCCUGGACCAAUACUGACGCUCAUGUGCGAAAGCGUGGGGAGCGAAACAGG